rnacentral:lncRNA from 1 species
UUAUAUUAAUUGCCAUUUUUUUCCUCACAAACUCUAUAACUCAAUCUUUCCAUUUUGGAUUACUGUGAUUAAUUUUUUUAUUAUGAUUAAUUACCGAUCAUUACUCUGAUUAAUUGUCUAUUUAAUAAUGUCGGUUUUGUUUGUUUCACUUAUCUCGAAUAUUAUAAAACUUUCAUGGUCUGUUUCAAUCAAUUUAGGCUUUUUUUUUUUUCUUUUGUAUAAAUGUUUGUUUUCUAUUUUAUCCGAUUUAUGAACUAAUGUUAUUAUUAAAUUUAAAUAAUUUAAGACUUUUUUUAAAUUAAUGGUAAUUCUAUUUUAAAAUAAGUUUUUAAA